rnacentral:tRNA from 15 species
CUGUGUCCGAGUGGUUAAGGAGGUAGAUUCGAAAUCUACUACGCUUUGCGUGCGCAGGUUCGAGUCCUGUCAGUG